CGCUUUUUCCCUCGGAAAUAUGGAUCACCAACUAGCCCAAGUGCAUACCCUUCUACACUUAGUGAGUUGCUUCCUCCCUUCUCAUAGUGCUGAGUCUACAUUUAAGCAUUCAUUCUUCACAGGAGGACCGACACGACAGAUUGACCUAUCCGCUGAUGCGAAUUGACAAAGAGGACUCAAAGGCCAUAACUGCGGUGUUGGAGAACCACUUAUUUGAGGUGACGGACGGAUUGGGCACUUCAUUGAUUUGAAGUACGAUAUAAAGUCUGCCUUGGCUUUGGAUCUCAUCACAAAUGCAUUCUGUCAGUUCCUCAAGGCUCUUCUCACAUCAUGUGGUGACAUUUGCGUCCAGUGUUAUAUAGCCCUGUCACAUGGAAGAGGUGGAGGAGACCAGCUUACUAAAAAGAAACACUGCCUCUAUUGCUGUCAUCAACAGCCAGCUGGCUGAAAUCAAGCCACCACACAGCUCCACGAGACUCCC